AGUGAACGCUGGCGGCAGGCCUAACACAUGCAAGUCGAGCGGCAGCGCGGGGGCAACCCUGGCGGCGAGCGGCGGACGGGUGAGGAAUUCGUCGGAAUCUGCCUUUUUGUGGGGGAUAACGUAGGGAAACUUGCGCUAAUACCGCAUACGUCCUACGGGAGAAAGUGGGGGACCGCAAGGCCUCACGCAGAAAGAUGAGCCGACGACCGAUUAGCUAGUUGGUGGGGUAAAGGCCCACCAAGGCGACGAUCGGUAGCUGGUCUGAGAGGAUGAUCAGCCACACUGGGACUGAGACACGGCCCAGACUCCUACGGGAGGCAGCAGUGGGGAAUAUUGGACAAUGGGCGCAAGCCUGAUCCAGCCAUGCCGCGUGUGUGAAGAAGGCCUUCGGGUUGUAAAGCACUUUUGUCCGGAAAGAAAUCCCUGGAGCUAAUACCUUCGGGGGAUGACGGUACCGGAAGAAUAAGCACCGGCUAACUUCGUG
rnacentral:rRNA from 1 species